AUAUGAUGACAUUCGGUCAUUUGUUAUUUUUAAUUGUAAUUUUAAUGCUUUUUAGUUAGUUUUAAGGAAUUUUACAUGGUCAGAGAAAAGAAUAUUUGAAGAAAUUGACACCUCAAAAGAGUUGAAGAUAAAGACCAAAAGAGAAAAAUAACUUGAAUUUGAGGUGAUUCUCACCCCUGUUUUUCUCGCGCUGCUACAAGGAUCACAUAGGGGUGCGAUUUGCUGCUGCACAUGUAUAUGACCAGCCAUGCAACCUGCCUAUGGUGCGCUGACACGUCAUUAAAACAACAAAUUGCUUUUGAUAUGCAUGAAUAGGGACGCGAGGUGUCAAAAGGAGAGGAUCAAUCUGCUUAUUGGCUACAACCUAUAUAUAUACAACAAACAAUAUUCAAAGGGGGGAUUAUCAUUGGGCAGAGAGAGAAGAAUCACGUCGCAGCAAAAGAGAAGAAGACAAUUCUAGGGUUUCGCCG
rnacentral:lncRNA from 1 species